rnacentral:rRNA from 1 species
AACGAACGCUGGCGGCAUGCCUAACACAUGCAAGUCGAACGAGACCUUCGGGUCUAGUGGCGCACGGGUGCGUAACGCGUGGGAACCUGCCCUUAGGUUCGGAAUAACUCCCCGAAAGGGGUGCUAAUACCGGAUAAUGUCUUCGGACCAAAGAUUUAUCGCCUUUGGAUGGGCCCGCGUUGGAUUAGCUAGUUGGUAGGGUAAAAGCCUACCAAGGCGACGAUCCAUAGCUGGUCUGAGAGGAUGAUCAGCCACACUGGGACUGAGACACGGCCCAGACUCCGACGGGAGGCAGCAGUGGGGAAUAUUGGACAAUGGGCGAAAGCCUGAGCAAGCAAUGCCGCGUGAGUGAGGAAGGCCUUAGGGUUGUAAAGCUCUUUUACCCGGGAUGAUAAUGACAGUACCGGGAGAAUAAGCUCCGGCUAACUCCGUG